ACUCAGCUUCUUUCCUGGCAUCUACCUUGGUGGGAGCUGAAGCAUGAAGAACUAUAGAUCCCAUGCCCUCGCCCCACAUGACCAGAUCCCUUGGAGAGUCUGCUUCUGCCUUCCCUCCCAGACUUCAGUGAUGUUCAAGGAUCUCGCUUGCUCAAAGCCUACAGGCUCUGGGAUGCCCACAUGGGGCAAACUGGCCAAUAAAGAACAAGACAGCAUACCCCGUGCCGAACUGCGGGUGAACCAGGCACAGCUCCUGCAGCAUGGUAACACUGUCCUUCUGGUCGAAUUCACAGUGUCUCUCUAGUGCCCAGCACUGUGCCUGGCACAUAGAAGUCAGAGAAGCUCUAUAAAUGAGAGGAUCAGAGGAUGUGACAGGAAAAUGGCUGGUGAGGACAGAGCCCAUGACAGAGUGUCUGUCUGCCUUGCUACAUUUCUGCGGCUGUGAAGCUGAGCCUAAGGUGGGCCUGGCCUGGUCCACUUCCACUGGGAUGUGUUAAAAGAGUGUCGGAACAUCAGAACACUGUCUGGGAACCAUGUGGUCACACUUUCCCUUCAAACAGAGACUCAAGAGCUCACAGCAUGGUGCUGGUAUCUUUGCCAAUACCCUACAAAGUGUCUUUGCAGAUGUCUCCAUUUGACCAGUGAGCGUUACAAUGGAUCCAUUCAUGAAGUAAAAAAACUCCUUAUUGCACGAGUCAGAGGUCACGCGCUACAACCAAAAUAGGCUUUCCUGCCAUCACUGCCACUCUGAAGUGGCUGCCCAGCUAUGGCUACAUGGUCUAACUCAUCUUGCAUCUGGGUGGCCUCAUAUGACUAGUUCUCACCAAAGGAAUUGUGGCAGAUUCCCUAUAGUGGACCACACCAGUAAUUCCCACUUCAUAUUGUUUUAUAAUAUGAUGUUGCACUCCUGUAAUAAGCCAUGGGCUCUAUGUUCUCUCCCUUUCAAUCUGGGUAAGCUUGUGAGGCUUAUCAGGCCAAGUCACAAAAGGUGAUACAGCUUCCAUCCAGGCCUGUUGGGAUACUCUUGGAACCCAGCCACCAAGGUGUGAGGCAGCCCAGCAGCCACAUGGAAAGUCCAACUGUGGGUGUUCUGGCUAUGGCCACAGUUGACGCACACGGAGACACCAGCCUUUGAGGUGAAGGGGAGGUGGUGGUAAGUUGUCCGAUACCUCCACCCCCAGCCUUCAAGCAAUCCUAGGAGACACCAAGUGGAACAGAAGCAAGCAGUCCCCACCAAGCCCUGCCCAAAUUGCAAAUUCAUGGGGAAACAAAUGUUGUCAUUGCUGUAACACACCAAGUUGGGGGUGAUAUGUUAAACAUCAAUAACGAACUGGAAUGGGAAUGGGAGUGGAAAUGGUCUAUGCCACUUCCAGUCCAGGCAUUCGGGACCUGGGGAUGCCUUCUCCAUAUCCUCUCCUUCUCCAAGGCCCUCAGACCACAAGAUGAAAAGAACCAAGUAUCUCAGCCAGGUGUGGUGGCUCACGCCUAUAACCCCAGCACUUUGGGAGGCCAAGGCAGGCAGAUCACAAGGUCAGGAGAUGGAGACUAGCCAUCUGGCAUGGGGCUAACACAGUGAAGCUCCAUCUCUACUAAAAACGCAAAAAAUUAGCUGGGCUUGGUGGUACAUGCCUGUAGUGCCAGCUACUCAGGAGGCUGAGGCAGGAGAAUCGCUUGAACCCGGGAGGAGGAGGUUCCAGUGAGCCAAGAUCACGCCACUGCACUCCAGCCUGGACAACAGAGCAAGACUCCCUCUCAAAAAAAAAAAAAACUAGUGUCCCGAUUGCUACACUGUGGCAAGUCUUGGGUCGACCAAAAAUACCUGCAUCAAACUGCUCAAGAGCUAGAAAUAAAUUUCUAUUGUGUGAAGCCA
rnacentral:lncRNA from 1 species